GACGAACGCUGGCGGCGUGCUUAACACAUGCAAGUCGAACGGAAAGGCCCUGCUUUUGCUGGGUGCUCGAGAGGCGAACGGGUGAGUAACACGUGAGUAACCUGUCCUUGUCUUUGGGAGAACAUCAGGAAACUGGGGCUAAUACCGCAUAGGAGAUACUGCUGCAUGUUGGGCGUUAGAGAGUGUCGGCGGUUGGGGAUGUACUGGAGGGUUAUCAGCUUGUUGGUGGGGUAGUGGCUUACCAAGGGUAAGACGGGUAGGCGGCCUGAGAGGGGGAACGGCCACAAGGGGACUACGGGAGGGCGCAGACGCGUACGGGAGGCAGCAGUGGGGAGCAUGGCAGAAUGACGGGACGCGUGAUGUAGCAACGCUGGGUGCGGGAUGACGGCCUAUGGGUUGUGAACAACUUUCUCCGGAAAUAAGGAGUGCGUGACGGUAAUGGAUCAAGAAGCACCGGCUAACUACGUG
rnacentral:rRNA from 1 species